GGGGGAACUGUCACCCAUGGCGGAGAGGGCGUCCCGCGGUCUGUGAGGGCCGGUAUACCUCCCCGUUGCCCUCUCUCGCCAUUUUGGGGUGUUUUUCGCUCUGUCACCUCAUCUUCUCUUCGUUAGCGGGCUCAGACAGGCAUCGAGGUGGAGGUCGCGGCUCUUCACACGCCGAGUACCGCCUGAGGAGUGCUCUGUGUGUUGGGAGCCUCCCGAGGGCCCCCGCCCGCCAUUUUCUCUCCCUCAGGAUGCUCCUGUGUUGGCGAGCGCUGCAGUUCCCCUCAUCUUCCCCGCUGCGGCUGCCUCACGCCAACACACCUAAGAGCUUGGGGCUGGGUAAUUUUCUAACGUAAAGGGAAAAUAACACAAAUUAGCUGUUCCCGCUUAGGUGGCCGUUCAGGGCAAAGCCCUCGCUGCUCUGCCCACCAGCCCCAGGGGAAGGAGCAGAGCUGAACUCGCUGCUGGAGAAGGUCCUCCGUAGCUUUAUUUGCUGCAGGACCCACUGAAAUCAUCCUCAGCUUUAACAACACCACAGGCUACUUGGAAUGCAAAAGAUCUAUGUAAAUAUACCCUCUGGUUGCAGCUGCUGUGAAAAAAGAAGAAAUUAUAAGGGAGCAGGUGAAGGAGGUAUCAUUUACAGAAGAAGAAAAAGGAAAAUCACUGAAGGGAAUCAGUAAGUUGAAUGAAAAAUAGUAACUAAUAGUGGAAUUAGCUCUCAUUUCCAGACAGGGAGAGAUGUGUUUGUGGUUUCGCUAGUUAAGUGUUUUUGGUGUUAUUUUUCUACAUAAGCAACUGAUAUAAUUGCUAAAGAAGCAACAGUGAAAGGAUCAGAACAUCCUGUGGGCACAGAUGGAGCUUGCAUUGUGUAUACAUUUUUAAGAUAUUCUAUUCAUUUAAUUUUAGCAAGAGUGUCAUCAGUUUCUCAGAGAUGAAUGGGUAUUUUUUAUGUGCUCCUUGAGGCACAUGGAAGGCUGCAGUAUGGGCAAAAGUUGUAGCCUGUUCACAAACCCCAACUCUUUUGAGAAGCACUUUCUUGUUCUCAUACAUGAGGCCACAGGAUCUCCAGUCUUAUUGUUCCCAAUGCUUUUGGGGACACUGGUGUUCUGGUGGCUCUGCUGGGCAGACAUGUGCUACCUGAAUGAAAAAUAAGAGCUAAAAAGGAAGUUAUUCAUCUUCCUUGUGGAGUCCUCAGUCUUUACAACCCGACCGUAGUUGGACUUCAGCAAUUUGAUAUCAGAAGGUUGUUUGUGUGGCAGUUUAUCACUGUCUCUCACAGGCAGCAGUUUUUCUUAUCAUUGUUUCCAUUAACACACAGAGCUCUGCAAAAAAAAAGAAAAAAAGGAUUGUCCUCUGUUUUCAUACAAAACUCCAUCUUCUCCUUGGAUUUCCUUCCACAGGAAGCACAUAGGCAGGUAUGCACUUACUUGCAUAUUAAAUAGACAAGAUAAAGCUGUUUGUACCCUGGAGAGAUGAGUUAAACAUUGAAACCAGCGGAGGGCAAACACGGUCAUUCACUGAUCUCUGAGGUGUAACAGCUCCAACUCACAAGGGUCGGGAGGCAGAGGCUGAAGCAAACUGGCUUUGUCUUGUACUUCUCAAGCUCACAAAUUGAAAGGAGAAUGCUGGGAAUGCAGUGUUAAAGUUCUAAAACUGACCCUGGGUCUGCCUUUCGAUAUCAGCAGCUAAAAGGGCAAAACCAGAGAGAUACAAAGAUAACAAAGCUUCUGUAAGAUCCAGGUCUGCCUGGAGGGACCUGAGGGGAGGCUGUCACCCCGAAUCACAGUCAGCACUUCAGGAGGAGACAGUGCUGAAGUUUGCACCAGGAUUUUAUGCCACAGCCAAAUAGAUCACCACGUCUUGUAUGUGCUACUGUUAAAUGUUAAUAAAUCUUGGCAAAGACCUCACCAAACAA